AUUUAAUAUUCAAACGGUUUAAUGGAAAUGAAAAUUGAAAACAAAUACCCAAACCAAAAAAUCCCUAAAAUCUAGGGUUUCACCGUGGCAUUUUGGUCGCGCUCAUUUGCUUGGCAACGGCGCUUUGUCAGCAGUAACAUCUUGUAAUACGGCGUUGCCAGCCUGUGCAUUUUGGUGCUAUUUUUUUUUUUUAUCAGACACAAUUUUUCAAUCAGCCAUGACUAACUAAACAAGAACUGCUGUUGUGGAAGGGGAAAAAGAAGAUAUAAUCAUUGCUAUGCCAAGAAACGUGGUCUAUCGUAUACUUGAGCUCAUGCCGGUUCGCGACGCAGCAAGAGCUAGUAUUUUGUCUAGUAAAUGGAGAAAUAUUUGGGUCUCACUUCUAUAUCUAGUGUUAAAUAACUAUUUUCGCAAAAAGUUUCACUGCAAAACCUACAACUAUUUUUAGAAAAACAGUUGAUGAGAUUCUCUUAGAGCAUGUUGGAGACAUUGUGAAGUUUGUUCUCAACGUCUUGGGCAUAAAUUCGUAUUCAUAUGCUAGUUUUGGUAGAUGGAUGCGUUAUGUCACCAGAAAUGGUGUCAAGGAGCUAAUUAUUUAUAUGUCGGAUAAGAAAACUUAUAUAUUGCCUUGUUAUGUAUUUAAUUGUCCGACCUUCACACAUUUGGAACUCUUCAACUGUGUCUUCAAACCACCAACUUAUUUUCUUGGCUUUCGAAAUCUUACGAAUCUUCAUCUAGAAAGAAUAACAUUUGUGCCAACCAACCAAUUUUGUGUUAUCGAUGUUCUCCUUCUUGUGGAUUUAGCCUUGAUGUUCUGUUGUGGCACUCUAUACUUGAAGAUGGUUUCACCACAAUUGAAGUCCUUGUUUGUUCUUGAAGGUCACUAUCUCAUGCUAAAUUGCUUUAUGAAUUGUGAAAAAGAAAGUGUUAGGGAUUGAAUUGGAAAAAGUGGAGGAUGAUCCGAAACAUGAUGAAAUAUCAACCGUGGAAAAGUUGCUAUUUAGCUUUGCUUCACUUGAACAACUUUAUUUGGGUUCCUUGGUCCUUGAGCUUUUGAACGCAAAUAUAGUUCUGGAUGAGCUUUCUUCCAAGCUCAAUUGCUUGUGGGCUCUAUUCUUAGGUGUUGACUUCAACAAAGUAGAUCAGACUUGUUGUGCUCUAACAGUUAAUCAACAGUUUUUUCUAGUUUGAGUAAACUUAAGAUUAUGGUGCAGGAUGGGGACGACAAUGCUGAAACAGUUAUGAAAUAUCUGGAGACACCAACGUGCUUGAAUAGACCACUUAGCAAACUCGAAUGUGUGACCAUCAAUUCUUUUCAGUAUUCAAAAACUGAAGUGUUUUUUGUAAAGCUGUGAUGUGCUUGCACUCCAUUUCUUGUAAGGAUGUGCAUUGAGCAAGGGAUAGCCAUUGAUUCCAAGGAAGAAAGGAAUAUCACCAUCAAAUUGAUGCAUAUCCCAGAGCUUGCACACUGGCAGAACUGUUCUAUUUUCCAUUUGAGUCUACGAAUGCAGACUGAUGACUCUGUUUUCAAUGAGUUUUGUUAAACAAAGGCAUUGAAUUGGCCAAUUUCGUAAAACGUGUGGUUUCCUUAAUGGUAAAUAUGUUCAUCACUUGGAUGUUUCUAAAGUUGCAGAGUCUGUGUUGACGUGUGUGAUAAGUUAACAGUUUUCAGAUGCAUAUUAUACCUGUUCUGAUAACCCGCGGAGGAAUUUGACAGGAUGACGCAAUGUUAGAAUCCAUCCAACUAACCAAAUCACUCUUGAGGUUUGACAGAUUCGAAUCACAUGUCAAACCUACUUUUUCUCCCUCGCAAUUGCUGGCAACCUGCGCUUUUUCUCACUUCUUCUCCGGGAAUUUUCAACUCUGCUCUUGAUAUGACAUUGCUACCUCUGUGGUUUUUGGUACUGUUCUAGUUUCAUCAUUUUUGAAUCAACUAACUCAACAAGGUAUACGAUUCUCUUUUCCUCUAA